AGAAGAAAUCUAUUGUUAGAAGGGUGCUGUGUCUGUGUGUAAAGAGGGGUUUCUAGAUGCUGACAACUUUGUUCUCUUCUAAUUGUGCUCCACUACCCUUAAAAGCUAGAAAGCCUUGUGGACAGUUGAGCUGACUCUUUAAAUCUCCCUUUUGCAUAGAAGGAUGUUUAAAAUGAGGAAUAGUUAACCUCUUACUGCUUUCAGAGCUGCUUGUACUUUCUGCUCCUACUAAUCAAUGGUAUCUGAAAUAAACCCUUGUACUCCUUUUGUCCCUGUUUGCUUUGAGUAGCUCUGAAGUGUGACACUGGCUAGAAAAUCCCAUGAAAGACCAGCAUUGUGCUUUCCUGUGCAUGAACUUAACAUUAAAUGUGAGUUGUCUGCUGCAGCUCUGUAACUGAGUGGAGAGAACAGCCUCAAUGUGUACAGCAGCUGUAGGAUGAAGGUGCUGGCUGUUGCCUCAUUCCAGAGCAUCUGACUCUGACUUUGUUCCAGAGAAUCAUGGUGGGCAGCAAAGAAGAAACAUUUUGGCUGUGCUGACUAAAAAUCAGACUGCUGACUCAUCACCAAAGCAUGGAAGGAGAGAUGGGAGCCUGACAUUGCAAACCAGCCUCUUGCUGCCCUCCGAGUAUUAAAACUCACAAACAGCAGCUAGUUAUACAGUAAUGGAGAUUAAGAAAAAAGGAAUUCGCUGAAGACCUCAACAGUCUGGGAAGUCUCUUGUUUAAACUCUGUUUUGCACUUCGCUAUUGUAGUUUACUUGAGUUAUUCCAAGCCCAAGGAAGGAGAAGGUGUGCUGCCAACUCACAGGUCAUUAAUUUCCAAACCAUGCUGAAAGGUGCAAAGUUGAGCGUGUUUUUCUUAGUGUUUUACUGUCAACAAAUAUUUGUGUUUGGAAUAUUUCUGUGAAAAGCAGAGAGCAGGGCUUCUCACUGGCUUAGAGCUGCCAGCUGCAGCUUGGUGCGCUGAGGUAUUUGGAAGACCUUAAGGCUGUGUGGGACAUGCCUAACAGGCCGUGGCAGUCAUUAUCAGACUAAGAUUUACAGGAUGAUAACAGAUUCUGUGGUGGUUUUUUUUUGUUGUUUUUUUUUUUUUUUUGGUCAGCUGUAUGCUAAUGCUUUUCCUUUAGUAAAACUUAUCCUCUCCAGUUACUCAGUAGAAAUUCUACGGCCUCCAGGCUGUGAAACUUUGGAGUACGUUCCCUUCCAGCUCUCUUUAAGCUUUGCUGUGCAAUAUUUUGUCUCUUGCAGGUGAUGCUAAUUGUGCUCCAACCAGUGGCCCUUUCCUCUGGGGUUUGCUAAAUUAGGAUAAACCAUCUCUGGCAGAGGCUAGAU